AGCUCCAAUAGCGUAUAUUAAAGUUGCUGCAGUUAAAAAGCUCGUAGUUGCAUUUCCGAGGCAAGGGAUUAGUCCGACCUUUGGUGGGUAUUUAAUCCUCUUGCCUCGUCCUUGAGUGGUGCUUCUUGGUAUUAAGUUAUCGAGGAGAUAGCCGCUCAUCGUUUACUGUGAGAAAAUUAGAGUGUUCAAAGCAGGCUUAUGCCGUUGAAUAUAUUAGCAUGGAAUAAUAAGAUAGGACCUCGGUACUAUUUUGUUGUUUUGAGACCCAAGGUAAUGAUGAAUAGGGACAGUUGGGGGUAUUCGUAUUCAGUUGUCAGAGGUGAAAUUCUUAGAUUUACGGAAGACGAACUACUGCGAAAGCAUUUACCAAGGAUGUUUUCA
rnacentral:rRNA from 1 species